rnacentral:tRNA from 1 species
GAAGAGAUAGCUCAAAUGGUAGAGCACCACUUCAUUGUGGAGGUGUGGAUUCGAUCUCCACUCUCUUUUUUUUCA